UGAGGAAUAUUGGUCAAUGGGCGGAAGCCUGAACCAGCCAAGUCGCGUGAGGGAAGACGGCCCUACGGGUUGUAAACCUCUUUUGCCGGGGAGCAGAGAGGUCCACGUGUGGAUCUUGGGAGAGUACCCGGAGAAAAAGCAUCGGCUAACUCCGUGCCAGCAGCCGCGGUAAUACGGAGGAUGCGAGCGUUAUCCGGAUUUAUUGGGUUUAAAGGGUGCGUAGGCGGCAUCGCAAGUCAGCGGUAAAAUUACGGGGCUCAACCCCGCCGAGCCGUUGAAACUGCGGAGCUUGAGUGGGCGAGAAGUAUGCGGAAUGCGUGGUGUAGCGGUGAAAUGCAUAGAUAUCACGCAGAACCCCGAUUGCGAAGGCAGCAUACCGGCGCCCGACUGACGCUGAAGCACGAAAGCGUGGGUAUCGAACAGGAUUAGAUACC
rnacentral:rRNA from 1 species